UACGAAGGGGGCUAGCGUUGUUCGGAAUUACUGGGCGUAAAGCGCGCGCAGGCGGCUAUCCAAGUCAGUGGUGAAAGCCCGGAGCUCAACUCCGGAACUGCCAUUGAAACUGUUUAGCUUGAGGAUGAGAGAGGUGAGUGGAAUUCCCAGUGUAGAGGUGAAAUUCGUAGAUAUUGGGAAGAACACCGGGGGCGAAGGCGGCUCACUGGCUCAUUACUGACGCUCAGGCGCGAAAGCGUGGGGAUCAAACAGG
rnacentral:rRNA from 1 species